rnacentral:lncRNA from 1 species
UUUUCUCAGCAAGGAAAUCCAAGUAUGGGAAAGGGCCGGUUUUCUGCGAUUUCACUUUUUAGCUUGCCGCCGGUUAUCCUUCCAGUCGUCCUGUCUUUCGUUCCACCCUUGGGACGUAAUUCGUGCCUAUCUCUCCGUACAUGCACAUGUGUGUUUCUCCCGCAAGCCCUGUUUGUUGUUUUUGGUAGGGUAGGCAGAACACAGCAGCCCAUGGAUUUCGUGGCUUGCUUGACUGUUUGCGUGUGGCUUGCCAUGCAAAUUAGCAGAGGGAUGCAGUACGGGACGAAUUUUCGCAUUCUUGAAUGUCCUCCGUCUUGGGUGCCCCGCUAUCCGCAUUCCCUUGACCGACCCCCACUUCACAUCUAACCCUACUGCACGUGCAUGCGGAACUUGUAACUUGUAAAAAUCUAAAACCCUACUGCAUCCCUCUGAAAUUAGUUAGGCUAAGAGC